GCGGGGAAAGAAGACCCUGUUGAGUUUGACUCCAGUCUCAGUUUGUCGGGCGGCAUAGGAAGUGUAGUCAUAGGUGGGAGGUGCAAACCGGUUCUGAAAAACCACUGUUCCUAUAGUUGCUCUGCAAAUUCAAUGGUGAAGCGAAGGAGCUCGCAAUCGCGGCCUCGCCGAGAGAUGCUUGCUUUCCUCUUCGAGCACGAAGCGCAGCCCAGUGGGCGGCGUGAGCUUUCGGUUGGAAACCAGACUGAGAUGGGGAGUUUGGCUGGGGCGGCAUAUCUGCUAAACAACAACGCAGGUGUCCUAAGGCGAGCUCAGUGAGGACAGAAACCUCACGUGGAGCACAAGGGCAAAAGCUCGCUUGAUCUUCGACUUUCAGUACGAGUCGAGAAAGUGAAAGCUUGGCCAGCGAUCCUUUGAGCACGUACAUUCAGGUAUAAUGCCAGAGGUGUCAUAAAAAUUACCACAGGGAUAACUGGCUUGU
rnacentral:rRNA from 1 species